rnacentral:rRNA from 1 species
CCUACGGGAGGCAGCAGUGGGGAAUUUUGGACAAUGGGCGCAAGCCUGAUCCAGCAAUGCCGCGUGAGUGAAGAAGGCCUUCGGGUUGUAAAGCUCUUUUGUCAGGGAAGAAAAGGUUACGAAUAAUACUCGUGGCUCAUGACGGUACCUGAAGAAUAAGCACCGGCUAACUACGUGCCAGCAGCCGCGGUAAUACGUAGGGUGCAAGCGUUAAUCGGAAUUACUGGGCGUAAAGCGUGCGCAGGCGGUUUUGUAAGUCUGUUGUGAAAUCCCCGGGCUCAACCUGGGAAUGGCAAUGGAGACUGCAAGGCUAGAGUUUGGCAGAGGGGGGUAGAAUUCCACGUGUAGCAGUGAAAUGCGUAGAUAUGUGGAGGAACACCGAUGGCGAAGGCAGCCCCCUGGGUCAAAACUGACGCUCAUGCACGAAAGCGUGGGGAGCAAACAGGAUUAGAUACCCUGGUAGUCCACGCCCUAAACGAUGUCUACUAGUUGUCGGGUCUUAAUUGACUUGGUAACGCAGCUAACGCGUGAAGUAGACCGCCUGGGGAGUACGGUCGCAAGAUUAAAACUCAAAGGAAUUGACGG